AUCAAUUCGACCUCAGAAUACCUCAAAGAACUAAGACCUAUUCCUAUGCUGUCACAAAAAAUGCAAACCUAGACGGCAAGAGGUCUGGCGACCACAGUUGAGUGAUUAGCAAUACGAAGACUGAACUGACCCCCCGUCUCAGUAAGGUCGAUCUUCUUGACGCCAGGGGGAGUGAGGAGCUCAAAUGAUUGAAUAAGGCGUCCGAGCACAAUGGCCAACAAGGGCAUGGCGAUGAUGAUUCCGGGGCACGCCCGUCGCCCGACGCCAAAUGGCAAGAAGCGGAAGUCGUUUCCAGAGGCUUCGAUCUUUCCAUCCAAGAACCGCUCAGGCAUGAACUUCUCUGGCUGGUCCCAGUAUUUAGGGUUGUUGGCAAUCCACCACGCGUUCACGAGGAUCUUGCUCUCGGCGGGGAUGUCGUAACCAGCGAGCUUGGCUUGGUUGAUGUUCAUGUGAGGGACGAGAAGGGGGAUGGCCAUGUGAAGGCGCAUCACCUCCUUUACGAAGGCUGUCAGGUAUGGCAGCUUGUUGUUGUAGGUGUCAGGCUCGCUCACCAAAUUGCCCUUUCCAAGAAUGGAGUCGAGCUCAUUUCGAAUCCUGGUUUGAAUCUCCUGGUUGUUCACAAGCUCCGCAAUUCCCCACUCAAUAGACCAGAGAGUUGUCUCAAUAGCUGCGACAUUGAUAUUCUCCACUAUGUACAGAACAUUGUCUUCGUUGAUCUCUCCCUUCUUUUGUGCCUCUAAGAUGUGGUCGAUGGCGCACUUCUCAGCUUCGGACUUGGGAGGAUUCACGCUAUUCAACUUCCUGCAAAUCAACAAAAGAAGAGAGGAUUUGUCAAUUUAAUCUACAAUGCCUCCUACAUUCCUCAUCAAGAAGGACAACCAACCCUAGUGACCUCCAAUUUCUGAGUGUUGAUCAGUUAGGGUUUUCAAGACGUGCAUACUUUCGCUCAUCGACAAAAUGUUCCUUGAAGAGAGCCAAUCGCCGGUCCUUCACGUCCUGGCACGUCUUAAGGUAGCCUUUCAGAAAUGGUCGCAAGAUGGGGAUGAAGUCGCCGUAGUUAUAGUCGAAGCUUUGAGC
rnacentral:lncRNA from 1 species